rnacentral:rRNA from 1 species
UACGGGGGGGGCAAGCGUUGUUCGGAAUUAUUGGGCGUAAAGGGCUCGUAGGCGGUCUGUCGCGUCGAAAGUGAAAACUCAGGGCUUAACCCUGAGCCUGCUUCCGAUACGGGCAGACUAGAGGUAUGCAGGGGAGAACGGAAUUCCUGGUGUAGCGGUGAAAUGCGCAGAUAUCAGGAGGAACACCGGUGGCGAAGGCGGUUCUCUGGGCAUUACCUGACGCUGAGGAGCGAAAGUGUGGGGAGCGAACAGG